GGAGAAGGAGAAAGAAGAAAGAAGAAGGAGGAAGAGAGCAAGGGAGGAGGAAGAAGAAGGGAACAAGGGGAACACCUACCCAUUGAAGAUGGAAGAACCAGUGCAGAGGCAGGCUUGGGACUUCGGUGGCAAUGAUGAUGAUGUAGGUACUGUGGUGCCGGUGGUGUGUGACCCAGUAUCCUCUGGGUCGGAGUACGAUGUGAGCGAUUGGUGGAUACUAGAAGCGGAGGAGCAUGAUCAAGACUGUGCUUGUGACCACUGUGCUUUUGCCGCACUAUGAGUUGUGCAACGUAGUUUUGAUCCUUUUAAUAUAGACUGUGGAUUGUAUAUUUUGGAUUAAUGUUUA